UUUAGGAAACAAACUUUUGCAUAGAGAUAAAGGUCCAGAAUUAUUACAAGCCUAGCAUGUCUUGCAUUUCUUGGUACUCCACCGGAUCUUUCCUCAACGAAUCGAAGACAGUGACAUGGCUUCGUUCAGGCUCAAUUAUAAUAAGGAUCCAGUGGAAGCUGCGUGCGUAAAAUAUUCAUGCAUAUUAGAGCUAACUAACAUGUAGAGAUAAGGAAAAAGACAUCGAAA
rnacentral:lncRNA from 1 species